rnacentral:rRNA from 1 species
GGGGGAUCCUACGGGAGGCAGCAGUGGGGAAUAUUGGACAAUGGGGGAAACCCUGAUCCAGCCAUGCCGCGUGUGUGAAAAAGGCCUUUUGGUUGUAAAGCCCUUUUACCAGU